CCCAAGAGAUCGGGAUAACACCUGGAAACAGAUGCUAAUACCGGAUAACAACAGAUGAUGCCUAUCAACUGUUUAAAAGAUGGUUCUGCUAUCACUCUUGGAUGGACCUGCGGUGCAUUAGCUAGUUGGUAGGGUAACGGCCUACCAAGGCGAUGAUGCAUAGCCGAGUUGAGAGACUGAUCGGCCACAUUGGGACUGAGACACGGCCCAAACUCCUACGGGAGAGGCAGCAGGC
rnacentral:rRNA from 1 species